GCGCCCAUAGCUCAGUUGGAUAGAGCGCCGGACUUCGAAUCCGUAGGUCGGGAGUUCGAGUCUCCCUGGGCGCGCCA
rnacentral:tRNA from 4 species